rnacentral:rRNA from 1 species
AUGGGAAGGAAGGCUUGUAUUGAACAGAAAAAUUUACCUUCAUGGUUUACUGUUACAGAGUAUAGACGGGCUACAGGAACUUACAAGACAUAUUUUGAUACAUACAAUAAUCAGACGUACCGAUCAAUAGAGGGAGCGGCAAGGGCUUUUGGACUUGGUGACAAGGACGAACCUGCUUUUCCGAAGCCUUUGAAUAUCAGGAAGGAAGACGGCUCAUCUGGAUCAUUACCUAUGGGGCCUUGUACUAAAAUCCCUGCAAUCCCUGAGUAUGUUGGAAAGGACACUGCUAGUGAUUCACUCAAUUUGGAACAAGAAGAACUUAAAAAGUUUCCGUCAAAAGGAAAAGAACUUAAAGAGACUGGGGAUGUUGCAAGCACCAUGAAAGGAGAAGAAGAAAAAGACAACAAAGAAGUUGGAUAUGCUGCAAGCAACUUGGAAAAUGAAGAAGAAAUGGCUAAGAAGAUCAAUGCUCCUUCUGCAGAUGCAGCAAGCAUACAGGAUGAAGAUGUUGCUGGAGAAGUGAAGAAUCGGGACCAUGCUUAG